rnacentral:piRNA from 1 species
UUGUGUGCGGGGCAGGGCCUGGGUU